rnacentral:rRNA from 1 species
AUUAGAGUUUGAUCCUGGCUCAGGACGAACGCUGGCGGUAUGCUUAACACAUGCAAGUCGAACGAGAAGGUUUUGAUGGAUCCUUCGGGUGACAUUAGAACUGGAAAGUGGCGAACGGGUUGAGUAACGCGUGGGUAACCUGCCCUAUGGAAAGGAAUAGCCUCGGGAAACUGGGAGUAAAGCCUUAUAUUAUGGUUUUGUCGCAUGGCAAGAUCAUGAAAACUCCGGUGCCAUAGGAUGGACCCGCGUCCCAUUAGCUAGUUGGUGAGAUAACAGCCCACCAAGGCGACGAUGGGUAACCGGUCUGAGAGGGCGAACGGUCACACUGGAACUGAGACACGGUCCAGACUCCUACGGGAGGCAGCAGUGGGGAAUAUUGCGCAAUGGGGGCAACCCUGACGCAGCAAUACCGCGUGAGUGAAGAAGGUUUUCGGAUCGUAAAGCUCUGUUAUUGGGGAAGAAGAAUGACGGUACCCAAUGAGGAAGUCCCGGCUAACUACGUGCCAGCAGCCGCGGUAAUAAU